ACUGCGCCUAGAGGCGUUGCAGGUGCAGCUGCUGUGUCACAUGUGCACCAGUAGGAGGCAGAGAGGAGAGAGGCUGUGCCUGUGCUCAGUGUUCUGACCUGUGACACUGAAUGAUUAGUAGCCUAACAGU